rnacentral:rRNA from 1 species
AUGAACGCUGGCGGCGUGCCUAAUACAUGCAAGUCGCGCGAACAGACGAGGAGCUUGCUCCUCUGACGUUAGCGGCGGACGGGUGAGUAACACGUGGAUAACCUACCUAUAAGACUGGGAUAACUUCGGGAAACCGGAGCUAAUACCGGAUAAUAUAUUGAACCGCAUGGUUCAAUAGUGAAAGACGGUUUUGCUGUCACUUAUAGAUGGAUCCGCGCCGCAUUAGCUAGUUGGUAAGGUAACGGCUUACCAAGGCAACGAUGCGUAGCCGACCUGAGAGGGUGAUCGGCCACACUGGAACUGAGACACGUCCAGACUCCUACGGGAGGCAGCAGUAGGGAAUCUUCCGCAAUGGGCGAAAGCCUGACGGAGCAACGCCGCGUGAGUGAUGAAGGUCUUCGGAUCGUAAAACUCUGUUAUUAGGGAAGAACAAAUGUGUAAGUAACUAUGCACGUCUUGACGGUACCUAAUCAGAAAGCCACGGCUAACUACGUG